rnacentral:lncRNA from 1 species
CUUACACUUUCAACCAUUCAGCAUUUUAGUAUCAGAUGAAGUACAAACAAAACCAUGGAGAGGGGCAUCCAAUAUAACAACCUUGCAAAGCUAGAGCCCUUGCACUUGAUGCAUAUAUAAGAGAAUUACAAUUCAGGUGAAUCAGAUGAAUUUGGAGUAAAAAACAUGUAUCAGCUUAUUCCAUGAAUACACACAGAACAUUCAAAGCCUAGUUUUUAGGCUAAAUUAAGUAAUUACAUGCAUUUUUUUAUUUUUAAGUCAAUAUGCAUUUCCAGGAAUAUGUCUAAUAUCAUAUAUCCAGGAAUAUAAGAAGCAAAGAGAAAACAGGGAGAGGGAUCUGCAAGGGAGAGAGUGGUCUGUAAAGUCACCUGCUCAGCAGCUCGACCACCAAGUGUCAUGCAUGUCAUGUCAAACAGCUGCUCUUUGGUCAUCAGAAGAUUUUCAUUGGGC